rnacentral:lncRNA from 1 species
AAAUUUAAUUAAAUAUAAUCAAAUUUUAUUAUUUUAAUCAAAAUAUAAUUUUAAAAAUAAUAAAAAUAUAGUGAAAGCAAUUUUUUUCAAAUUAUAUUUGUUUUAGGAAAAAAAAAUUAUUUAAAACUCAACUAAUAUAUAAAAAAUUUAUUUUAUAAGUUACAUAUUUAUUCGGGACAAAUUCGUUGCGGGGCUUGGGGUAUGUUUGUUUCAACGUAAGUAGACUUAGGGUUGGAAGUGGACUUUGGGUUGAAAUGGAGUUGGGGUGAAAAUUAAUCCACUUUCGCUGUUUGUUUUUAACUGUGAAAUGGCAGUUCUGCGAGUUCUGUUAUUUAUUUGAUUGGAAGUAGAUGACGUAAAAAGUGUAGCUCUUCAACCCCGGUAUAUUUACAUCCGAAGUGAUAUUAUUGUCUAUUUUGUAACUUAGUGAAUAAUAAAUUAUAAUAAAUAAAAAUUAAUAUAAUUAUAUAUAUGUAUAUAAUUAUAUAUAUGUAUGAUUAUAAAAUAAAAUUUUUAAAAAUUUGAUUAUUUGUUUGCAUAUAAAUUAUAAUAAUACAACAAAUAAAAUCCUAAAGUUAAAAAAUUAUUAACAUUUAACAAAUUCAUUUUUCAUUAUUUUAUAAAUAUACAAAUUAAACAAAAAAUAUAUUAAAACUUACCUAACCAAAUUUGAUCAUAUUUUAGACAUACAAUCAAAAUAAAAAAAUUUAAUUAUUUCCACAAUUGAAUAUAUUUGGAAUUGGGUUUGAAACUCGGAGAGGAAAGGGUAGAGAAGAGGGUAACCCUAACACAUUAAUUUUCACUCUUGCCUCCUUUCACCUCACCGAAAUUGACUUCGCCCUAUGGAAGGGAGAAGUCAAUUUCAUUAUUUUGGAUGAAUUAGACUUUCGGGUAUAAUAAAAUUACAGUAAACCAAACAACGGAAGUGGUCUGUUUUCACCCAAAAUUACUUUUCCCUUCCCACUUUCACCCCACUUCUGU